rnacentral:misc_RNA from 2 species
ACACCUCAACUCUCAUGGCUUGCCGUGAUGAGCUUGGACUUUGGGGGUACUGCUGGCCUGUGGUCGGCUCCUCUCAAAUGAAUCAGCUUGCCAGUGUUUGGUGGCAUCACAGGUGUGAUAACUAUCUACGCUUGUGGUUUUCCACCAGGUAACCUUCAGUGAUGGAGGUUCGCUGGGGCUCACAAAUGUCUCUCUUCUAUGGAGACAGCUCUUUGAAC